UGGGGAAUAUUGGACAAUGGGCGAAAGCCUGAUCCAGCAAUGCCGCGUGAGUGAUGAAGGCCUUAGGGUUGUAAAGCUCUUUUACCAGGGAUGAUAAUGACAGUACCUGGAGAAUAAGCUUCGGCUAACUCCGUGCCAGCAGCCGCGGCAAUACGGAGGCAGCUAGCGUUGUUCGUAAUUACUGGGCGUAAAGCGCACGUAGGCGGCGACUCUAGUCCGCGGUGAAUGCCCGGGGCUCAACCACGGAACUGCCUUUGAAACUAGGUUGCUAGAAUCUUGGGGAGGUCAGUGGAAUUCCGAGUGUAGAGGUGAAAUACGGAGAUAUUCGGAAGAGCACCAGUGGCGAAGGCGACUGACUGGACAAGUAUUGACGAUGAGGUGCGAAAGCGUGGGGAGCAAACA
rnacentral:rRNA from 1 species